GUCGGGCUUUCACCGAGCUAGAUUAGGACCGUACGCCGCCUGUGAACCCUGUUAGGCCGACAGCUCGCGCUGCUAGGCUAGAGGCCGGGGAUUUCAACAAAUGGAACGAAUGGAAGUGGACCAGUGCGCAGGCGCAACUACCGGGAGCGGAGGAGGGGCCCUUCGUAGAUCGAACAGCGCCCCCAUGAUCACAAGUGUCAGUGAUGGUAUGACAGUGUUCAGUCCAACUAGUUCAGUCCGGUAUCGGCGGAGCAGUGUCUCUGUGAAUCCCAGUUGCCCUUAUCGGGCCGUCCCCUUGUCCCCUUUCUCAUUGGGUGGUGAGAGACCAGACCACAAAAGGCAGGUUGAGAAUAUGGAGAUGACACUCAGGGGGAGUCUUCAGAGACUAAGUGCUUCCAACCUGGUCCCUCCUCCUGUCAGUCACUGGCAUGACCAUUCAUCAGGGGGAUUCCAUUCACAGGACAGUGGUGUCACACCCAAUUCGUCCCCUAGUCCAACCCGAAGGUUUAGGGGGCCUACAGUCAGUUCUACUGUGAGAUGGCCUGCCCUGACUCCACUGAAAAGGAAAGGAGGUGUGGAGUCUGAUGGCCCGCCCAAGAAGCUGUUUGUUGCCGGGGUAACAGAACCUGCUCACCGGACUAGUUACACAGUCAGUGUGUCCCAGGCAUCAGCAGACUCUCCUACAGGUGGUGUGUCUGUGUGUGAUGCCAUUCCCCAGGGUAGUCCACUGUCCCUGUCUCCUCCCCCCUCUUACCAGCCCAACAUCUAGACACCCCAACACUAGGAGCCUAUCAUAGACCAGGACUACAGUCAGCCUGUCAGGGCCCUGGAUCCCUCUCAACACAGCCCCACCCACCCAGUCCACCUACAGAGCCUGGGAAUCAACUCAGUAAGCCUAUCAGAACCUUAGUUUCUACGCAAUCUGCCUAUCAGGGAGCACUCCUCUCUCAAACCAUCAGAGCCUUGGGGAAACAUAUUCCUUGGCUCCUGAAGUAAUCCGAUCUGGAUUUGUAAUCAAGAUAAUAUCUAGAUGUUAUACAAAGACUGGCACCCGUGCUUUGUUAAUCAAAAGGUUGCAGGAAAUGCCCUGCUAAAGGAAGUUGGUGACCAGCGCAUUGUAAGGUAGUGUCAGGGUGAAGAGAUUGUGAUGACAAUGGGAAAGAACAAAGAAAAUAAUUUGACUAACUUCUGGACUCACUUUUCACUGUAGUUGACAUGUGGGUUGUGUCGUGAUAACCAAUGUCAACUAUGGUUGUAAAUUUCCUUGUUGGGAUUUUCUUUUUCUCAUAUCCAGAGGUGUCACUGGUACUGUAAAACAGAAUGACUUCCAAUAGUCUUCCAAUAGUCAAGAAAAGGCCUUGUCUGAAGUUGUGUUCAGGGGUAACGGUGAGGGAACGUUAUAUCCCACUGAACGGGACCCAAUGGUCCAGUAUUCUUUGAUAGUCCAGAAGUUAGCUCUCAAACAUGAGACAUUAAGUCACCACAGCGGACUGCCGGGCCGGUGUAUAUGUGAAUAGUGUAUUGUCAUGUGAAUACGAGGAUAUAACCGGGGCUGCCUUUAUGGCCCCUCACUUUCUCUGGCUGUGGGGGUUUGUACUGUAAAUAUAGAAUCCCCAAGCAAAGCUCUGCCCAGAGGACCCUCCCAAUCCUGGUCCUUAAGGGCCCAAUCCUAAUGAUUGUUCUGCGUGGAUACUGGUAACUCAAAUUUUAGCACAAAUCUGUCAUUGACAUGACAGAGCAAUUCCACUGUAUCAGAGUGACACAAACCAUGUUUCCAUCCACAGUUUUUAUGCCAGUAAAGUCAUAUUGUAUAAAACAAUUUUUUUAUGACAGCUGUGAUGGUAACAGGAAGUUUCAGUACAAUUUCCUAAAUGCCGACAGAUAAUUUGUUAAUUCGACAUGAUGGGAUCUUUUUGUCUGUAAAAUAGAUUAUGCGAGAAAUGGCUUUAUGCUCUAAUAUUGAUAAAAUAACCAUCAUAUCGAAGUAAACUUGGAGUCACACGAUGACAUGUUGUCCUCCCACUACAACUCAGGGAAACAAUGCAGUUUAUUAGCCUACAGAUGAAAUAAGUUAUGAACUUCACAGGGUGGGGAAAGUGCACAAUGCUCCUUUGUAAUAAAUAUCGAGAGUCUUAUUCUGGUGACAUGAUGAUCGAUACUUGACUGCCAUUUUGACAAAUAAAAAUAUUCUGGCUCUUAUCCAUAAUAAUCUCAUCAUGUAGACUAGGCAACCUGCAUUGUAUUGGCUAGAGCGCAGGUGCCAAGACCAGAGUAGGCACAUUUGCUAUUUAACACAACUGUUUGUGACCAAAGUAUUGGUAGAGUGAAAACUUAAGCGAAAAAGUAUGUUUUGUGUGCACUGUCAUCACACACCGAUUAUUAUCGGUCAGUUUGGUGGAAACCACCACCGUAUUUUAGAAUAUUCAAAUGAUAAUCUGUUGCCAAUUGGAUGGAAACCUAGCUACAGACUCACAUUUUAAAUAGAAAAAACUAUGUCAAACACCAUACAACUCUAUGCACAAGGACUACUUUGAACAAUUUCACCUGAAUAUUUUACAACACAUUUACUUGACGAAGGAAUCACCUCUUGACAGGUGUGUGUGUGUGUGUGUGUGUGUGUUCUUUAGUUAGAUAGAAAGGACCAGGACUGGGGAUCUCAGUCCUCUGGGUAGAGCGUGAUAUUACCCUUUUUCUAUAUGAGUACUUUAACAGAGGUAGUCUGUGGGGUGUUAACAUACAUUUUUCCCAUGGAUUACAUUGCUGACCGGUCUUAUUCAAAUUCUGUAAAGUGGUAUGGUUAUACAUGCUCAGUACCCUGGUAGAUAGAUAACAUAAGUGACAUCAAGGGCAUAUCAUGCUGUUUGGGUUGAUGUAAUUUAUGGGAAAGUUAUGUGGUUUUUAACUGACUAUGUGACCUCCAGACCUUUUGACUUGUGAAAUAUAUAGUCUAUAUAAGCUGCAGUGUCUUAUACAAAAACAGAAUGUUAUCGACAGUAACUGUAAUACUCUUAAUUCAAAUACCCUUUCCAGAGCUGAGUUUUACAGCAAAUGUCUCCUUUUUGUAGACCUUCUACUUCCAAUUUCACAAUUUUGCACAGUAUUAGUUUCACAUUAUUAAUAUGGCUGUUACACGAAUGGGAUCAUAUCCUGAUUUUAAGACAUGCUGUUGCUUUGUAUAUUUUGCUUCAUUUGCUCAUUUCUCAUCAGGUUACUCUCUCUGUCCUGUCUCAGAGAAGUGCUUGGGUCAGCAAGGGUUGAGGGUCAUCUGCUGAUCUUAACCACUGAUUUUAGAUGAAGGAAUUUUGUUUUUCCUUAGUGACAAUCAGUGAAUUUGGAGGGAAAUAAAAACCUCCAGUUCAAGUUAUAUUCAUGUUCACUUAUUCUCAAGACUGUAGUUAUAUUUUGACUGCAUACAUUGUUUAGAUUGACAACCAGCAUCACAGCUCCAUUUCUCGCCAAGGUGUAUGAUUGAGAUCCUAGUGUAGAUGAUCAACUCACGUUGCCAAAGCCAAAUGAUUACCUUUUCAUACUCAUUGUACAGACAGACUAGCUUUCAGACACAUGUAUUUGAUACUCUUUCCUAAUUAUGGGGAGAUAUCCUGUAAAUGCAUACUGAGUCAAAUGACAUGAACAUCCACAGAAAAUGCUGAUCUGUGAUAUAGCUAACUCCAUUUUAAUCUGCGGUUAACCUACAAGUAAAACUUGCAAUCAAAUGGCACUAACAUUCAAUGGUAGUUUCACCAAUCCCAUCCUUGUUGCAGAAGAUAAACUAGAGGGAAAUAAAUACAUUUGGACAUGAUCUGAAGCCAAAUAUAAAAUAUUUAAAUAAUCUGUUGAUGUUCAUUGUAGUUGACCCACAGGGUUUGCAUGCCUUAUCAGCAGUGUUUCCCAGUGUCCUGUCAUGAGACCACUGCCUGUAGGAGAUAAGCCUGGGUCUGACCAAGGUGACAUAUCUAGGAGACAAACAGAAGCCACGUCUGGCUGUCUCAAUUGCAAUACUUCAACAAGGAGACCAGCUGGUUGUUGCGAGGUCAGUUAAACACACUUGUAUUGCCAUUUACUGAUUAUUUUAUUAUUUCCUUUUCAUUAUUGUUGCUGUUGUCAUUAUACAGAAUAUCACUUUUUU
ensembl:lncRNA